rnacentral:lncRNA from 1 species
GGACGCGCCCGCUUCUCGCUGGAGUGCGCACCGAGCGGCAGUGACUUCGCCGCUGCUGUAGUUCCCCGGCUGGAUGCGGUGACUGGUGCCAGUGCUCAGGCGCCCGCUGCCCUUGACCUCCCGCCCCGCGAGCCCUAACUCAGCGCAGGAGGACCGGCUGCCGCCGCCGCCGCCGCCAGAGCCUUGGCUGCCCAGUUGCCAGUCCUACCACGGUCGGAGGUAACCUUCCUGGCUCCAGUCACAUGGCCAGAUAAGGUGGUGUGUGUGGGCAUGAAUUAUGUGGACCACUGCAAAGAACAGAACGUGCCCGUGCCCAAGGAGCCCAUCAUCUUCAGCAAGUUUGCCAGCUCCAUCGUGGGGCCCUAUGAUGAGGUGGUCCUCCCACCACAGAGCCAGGUGUUGGUGUCACCCAUGAUCUAUCCUCCUGUAUGGCCAAAUCCCCUGCCCCCAUAGGCCACAGAUGCCAUGGCCCACGUGGCCGGCUUCACUGUGGCUCAUGACGUGAGUGCUCGUGACUGGCUAACAAGAUGCAAUGGGAAACAGUGGCUGCUGGGAAAAACCUUCGACACCUUCUGCCCUCUGGGCCCUGCCUUGGUGACCAAGGACAGUGUAGCAGAUCCACACAACUUAAAGAUCUGCUGUCGAGUGAAUGGGGAAGUGGUCCAGAGCAGCAACACCAACCAGAUGGUAUUCAAGACAGAGGACCUGAUAGCCUGGGUGUCCCAGUUUGUUACCUUUUACCCAGGGGAUGUCAUCCUGACUGGGACCCCCCCACCUCCACCCAGGUGUCGGUGUAUUCAGGAAACCUCCUGUCUUUCUCAAGGUCUCUGAAGGUCCAGACAGCACUGAUGGCGAGCUUUGGGUCCGCACACUCUGGAAAGAAGAGAGAAGUGAAGGCUCUAGGGGGCAGCAGCCACCAGCAAACACCACUGCCUGCAGGAGCCUGGGCUGACUGGUUGGGACUCACCGAAGAUCCCUUCUUCCUGGGCGGUGGCCUGCAGGAACUGGAACAGCUGCUCUGUGUAGCCCAACUCUGCAGAAGAGAGAAGACCUAGACCUGGCACCCAGCACAGACACAGCCUGCCUCGAGGACUGCAAGGGAACAAGGGCCUCACCAGUAUCGGGCAGCUGGCCCUGGCGGAGGAAGGCGGCAGCCUGUGCAAAGGCCUUGAGCAGCGGGCUGAGCAGGCGGCAGAGGAAAAGAAAGAAAUCUGGGCAGUGUGACUGCUGGCUGAGCUGGAGGGGACAGGCCGGGGUGAGUGCAGCUCCCCACCGCCUCCCUACCACCUCCCUCCAGGGGCAGCUUUUUGAAACACACCCUGAAGUACCGGCCGUCAGCCUCUCCGAAGUCAUCACUGUCACUAUCAGUAAAGUCCCCACUCGGUUUCCA